CCUGAGAAACCCAAAAGAUCGAAUGGGGAGAUUCAUCGUCAGCUGCUUUGGCUUCCGUGUGGUGUGCGAUGAUCGGAGCCUUGUGUUCUGUGUCACGCGCCCGCUGCGGCAUGUCCAAAGUGGUCGGCGUGCACUUCUCCCCUAGUAGGACGUCGCGACCCGUUGGGUGUUGGUCUACGGUCCGGUAGGUCGACUGGCGCGACACGUUCACGCGUGCACGCGUCAGACCUCUGGUUGCCCGACCAACUGCCCGGCGGUAAAGAACGAUAAUUAAACGGUAUUGGGCCGCAUUAAGUGCGUUCAGGCUCGUCGGCAGGCUCGCCUCGCUCGGAUUUACGGACCUAGUGCCGUUGCCGGGUGCUUGGUGUGACUGUUGGCCGACGAUGUCCUCGGACUGGCUCAUUAUAUUCGAACGGAUAUACCGGUCGGCGACGCUACUGCUUUGGGUACUUUCAGGACCCGUCUUGAAACACGGACCAAGGAGUCUAACAUGUGCGCGAGUCAUUGGGUCAAUUAAAGCCUAAAGGCGCAAUGAAAGUGAAGGUCGUCCUUUGCGUCGAUCGAGGGAGGAUGGCUCGCGUCACGAUGCGAGCCCGCACUCCCGGGGCGUCUCGUGCUCAUCGCGAGCAGAGGCGCACCCAGAGCGUACA
rnacentral:rRNA from 1 species